rnacentral:rRNA from 1 species
AUUGAACGCUGGCGGCAGGCUUAACACAUGCAAGUCGAGCGGGGGAAGGUAGCUUGCUACCGGACCUAGCGGCGGACGGGUGAGUAAUGCUUAGGAAUCUGCCUAUUAGUGGGGGACAACAUCUCGAAAGGGAUGCUAAUACCGCAUACGUCCUACGGGAGAAAGCAGGGGAUCUUCGGACCUUGCGCUAAUAGAUGAGCCUAAGUCGGAUUAGCUAGUUGGUGGGGUAAAGGCCUACCAAGGCGACGAUCUGUAGCGGGUCUGAGAGGAUGAGCCGCCACACUGGGAAUGGGGCACGGCCCAGACUCCAACGGGAGGCAGCAGUGGGGAAGAUUGGACAAUGGGGGGAACCCUGAUCCAGCCAUGCCGCGUGUGUGAAGAAGGCCUUAUGGUUGUAAAGCACUUUAAGCGAGGAGGAGGCUACUCUAGUUAAUACCUAGGGAUAGUGGACGUUACUCGCAGAAUAAGCACCGGCUAACUCUGUGCCAGCCGCCGCCGUAA